AACGAACGCUGGCGGCAGGCUUAACACAUGCAAGUCGAACGCCCCGCAAGGGGAGUGGCAGACGGGUGAGUAACGCGUGGGAAUCUACCCUUUUCUACGGAAUAACGCAUGGAAACGUGUGCUAAUACCGUAUGAGCCCUUCGGGGGAAAGAUUUAUCGGGAAAGGAUGAGCCCGCGUUGGAUUAGCUAGUUGGUGGGGUAAAGGCCUACCAAGCGACGAUCCAUAGCUGGUCUGAGAGGAUGAUCAGCCACAUUGGGACUGAGACACGGCCCAAACUCCUACGGGGAGGCAGCAGUGGGGAAUAUUGGACAAUGGGCGCAAGCCUGAUCCAGCCAUGCCGCGUGAGUGAUGAAGGCCUUAGGGUUGUAAAGCUCUUUCACCGGUGAAGAUAAUGACGGUAACCGGAGAAGAAGCCCCGGCUAACUUCGUGCCAGCAGCCGCGGUAAUACGAAGGGGGCUAGCGUUGUUCGGAAUUACUGGGCGUAAAGCGCACGUAAGGC
rnacentral:rRNA from 1 species